UACGUAGGGGGCAAGCGUUGUCCGGAUUCAUUGGGCGUAAAGAGCGUGUAGGCGGCCAGGUAGGUCGGUUGUGAAAACUGGAGGCUCAACCUUCAGAGGUCGACCGAAACCAUCUGGCUAGAGUCCGGGAGAGGAGAGUGGAAUUCCUGGUGUAGCGGCGAAAUGCGCAGAUAUCAGGAAGAACACCUAUGGCGAAGGCAGCUCUCUGGGACGGUACUGACGCUGAGACGCGAAAGCGUGGGGAGCGAACAGG
rnacentral:rRNA from 1 species